GAAGGAUCGAGAGAGCCAGGGUCACAGGGUGUUUCUUCGCGUCGCACAAAGAGAGAGAGAGAGAGAGAGAGAGAGAGGGGUGAUAUUCAGGAAAGAUGAGAUUUCAUCUCAUCAUCUCAAGACUGAGCAGACAGAUACACAGAGAGGAGUGGGAGAGGGAUCUGUGUUUUGAUUACAACCCCAAAUUUCUAAUUGUUAGGUUUUGAUUACAGCCCCAAAUUUCUGAAGAUCAUCUUUCAAAUUUUGCAGGUAUGACAAAUCAAAAUGGAGGUGGGCUGACAGCAGAGGGGUCUUUAUUUUGAGAGUGGCAGGUUGAAACUGAAUAUGAUGAACAACCGGCAGGUGGUAAGGUGGAAGAAUGGGAAGAUACAAUUCAAGAUAGUGAACAUGUUCAAGAUCAGCUGACUGUUAUUGAUCUUAACUAUUUGAGCAUAGUGGAAGAACUGGUGGAUUUGAGUCCUGAAAAGCUAAAGAAGGUAGUCGUGAUAUUAGGUGUUUGAAGACAAGUAAGUUAAUUGCUACUUAUAAAAGCUCAAAGUCAGUAAGGUGUUUGAAAGUUAUGAGAUAAUUGAUUCCCUUGGACCAGAGGUAGCUCAUCGUUCACCAAUAUAUUGGUCUAAAUUUGUUUAUGGGAUUCAAAAGUUUACUGUUUGUCACCAAAUGUUUUAAUAUUUACAGGUUAUUCUUUACGAUGCAAAUGUUCCGGGUGAAGGGGAGCAGAAGGUUAUGUCGUACAUUCGUCUUCAAAUAAAUCUUCUUGGGGAUCAGGGAGUAGUGGGAAGUUUGAAAUGCAAUUAGCUCCAUUGGUUUAUGGUUGUGUCCUGAAUUAUUUCUGAAUCUUUGGUAAAAUCAGAGAAGCGUUGGAACAUAUUCACAAGCUCAAGAAUAAAGAGAUUAUGCUUCUUCCUGGGUAUUUUGAGACUUUGGUGAAAGGACUGUGCAUGGCUAAUAGAUUUGCAGAUGCUUUGGAGAUUUUGGAUAUUAUGAAGAAAAGAGAUUUUGUUGAUAAGAAUGUUUACGGGAUUAUUACUUGAGAAAGAAUGAUGUUUCUAGAGUUGAUCUGUUUUUAUUAUUUUAUAGUAUGAAAGAAUCUGGAUAUUUGCCUACUGCUUCUACCUACACCAAACUGACGCAGCAGCUCUUCAAUGUAAAUGAGUAUCAAAAAGGCUGUGACCUGUACGAUGUCAUACUUGAAAGAGGAGUGUAAUAUAAUGCCAACUCCAAUACUUCCAUUUUUGAAA